CUCAAGAUGAGAUUUCCCAUAGCGUAAGCUAGUAAGACUCCUGGAAGAACACCAGGUUGAUAGGUCAGAGAUGUAAGCAUGGCAACAUGUUAAGUUGACUGAUACUAAUAAGUCGAGGGCUUGACCAGAA
rnacentral:rRNA from 1 species